UUUUUUCUGAAAUGAUUUAUUUCUUUUAUAAAUUUUUAAUCAAAACAAUAAAACAACAUGCUUAAUUAUUAGGUGGUAGUUACACAGGGGCUAUUGUUUCUGUGUAUUAUUUGUAUUUAGUAAAGUUUUAUUGGAACACAACAAUGUCCAUUUGCUUAUAGGUAGAAUUUCUCAACCUCAGAACUACUGACAUUCUGGAUGAGACUUUUUUUGGGGGGUGGGGGCAGUUGUACUAUGCAUUGUAGGACGCUUAGCAGGAUCCCUGGCCUCUGCUCACCAGACGCCAGCAGCACCCACCCUUCAUACUGAAAACCAAAAAUGACUCUGGACAUUGCCAAAUGCCUACUGGGGUGUAGGUAUGAGAAACGAAAUGGCCCCUGUUUGAGAACACCUGGCUUAUGUAUUAAGCGCUUCCACACUACAAAGACAGAGUAGAGACUGUAUGGCUUACAAAGCCUUGCAUGUUUACUAUCUGGCUCUUCACAGAAAAAUAUGUUAACUCUGUUUGCCAUAAACGAUGGCAAAAGAUGCAGGCUAAACUGCAGAGCAUAUGACAAUACAAUCUCCUUAGCAAAGUUUCCACAGAUUGCUUUAAAAACUACUCCAAUGUAAACAAAAGGAAGAGAUAAAAAUAAGCAAUCCACAGAAACAGAACUCGAAUGACCCUUAGACAUGGUAGAUGCUCAAUCUCACUGGCAGUUAAGAAAAUGCAGGCCAGGCCCGGUGGCUCACGCUUGUAAUCCCAGCACUUUGGGAGGCUGAGGCGGGUGGAUCACGAGGUCAAGAGAUUGAGACCAUCCUGGCCAACAUGGUGAAACUCCUGUCUCUACUAAAAAUACAAAAAUUAGCUGGGUGUGGUGGUGGGCACCUGUAGUCUCAGCUACUCAGGAGGCUGAGGCAGGAGAAUCGCUCCAACCAGGGAGGCAGAGGUUGCAGUGAGCUGAGAUUGCACCACUGCAAUCCAGCCUGCCGAGAGUGAGACUCUGUCUCAAAAAAAAAAAGAAAAGAAAAGAAAAUUGAAGGCACUUUUUCUUUUCCUUCACCCAACAUAAAAAAAAGUUCAGUCCUGGUUGAAUUUGUCAGGAAAUGGACAUAAAUUCCCAUUAAGAUUAAUGAUUUCAGACAAUAAUAAGGCAUUAAUGAAUAUAUUUUAAAUCCACUAUGUUGUAGGCAAGGAAUUCAACUGGUAGGACUCCACCUACUUUAUUGAUAUAAAAGUACAACAUGCAACAAUAUAUGUACAACAAAACUGUUUGGUGUAUAAUUAUUGGUAAAAUAAUUUGAAUUUUUUGUUUCUUGAGACAGGUCUCACCCUGUCACCCAGGCUGGUGUGCAGUGGUGCAAUCUUGGCUCACUGCAGCCUGAACCUCCUGGGCCCAAGCUAUUCUCCACCCUGAACCUCCCAAGUAGCUGAGACUACAGGUGCUCACCACCACACUUGACUUUUUUUUUUUUUUUUUUUUUACUUUUUAUAGAGACAGGGUUUCACCAUGUUGCCCAGGCUGAUCUCAAAUUCCUGGGCUCAAGCCAUCCACCUGGCUCAGCCUCCCAAAGUGCUGGGAUUGCAGGCAUGAGCACCAUGCCUGGCCCCAAUCUGAACUUUCAUUAGUGGAAAAAUGGGCUGCAUAUGGUUUGUCUAUAGAAUAGUCCUUUAUCUGCAGGGUACAUGUUCCACGAUCCCCAGUAGAUGCCUGAAACUGUAUAGAGUACUGUACCCUACAUAUACUAUGCUUUUUUCCUAUUCAUAGAUACCUAUGAUAAAACUUAUAAGUUAACUAAUAGCCAAUAAUAGAACAAUUAAAACAAUAUACUGUAAAACCAGGGAUAAGGGGGAACUACUCCAUUAUGUAAGAAUUUCAAGCUAGUUUGAUCUACAGGUAUUAAUUUGAAGGAUGUCCCUGGUAUGUUACCAAGUGAGGAGAGGAGAUGACACUUCAAUGUGUAUGCACGAUGUCAUUCAAACUACUCUCCCCAACCUGAAACCUCCUAUGGUACCAAAACAAAUCUAGCUGUGGGUAUGCUUCUUUAGUGUGGGCAAAGCAUGGAAGCAUACACAUCAGGUUUUUGUUUUUUUUUUUUUUUUUUUUUUUUCCCUGAGAGAGUCUUGCCCUGGCGCCCAGGCUGGAAUGCAGUGGUGCGAUCUCAGCUCACUACAACCUCUGUCUCCUGGGUUCAAGCUAGUCUCGUGCCUCAGCCUCCUGACUAACUGGGAUUGCAGGCACGUGCUAUCUCGCCUGGCUAGUUUUUGUAUUUUUAGUAGAGAAGGGGUUUCAUCAUGUUGACCAAGCUGGUCUCGAACUCCCGACCUCAAGUGAUCCGCCUGCCUCAGCCUCCCAAAGUGCUGGGAUUACAGGCAUGAGCCACCGCACCCGGCCGACUUUACUUUUUUUUAUAGCUGACUUAUUUUGGAUGCUGUCCUUUUCCAACUUUGGUAAAAGGGUAAUGAUAGCCUCACAGCCAUGACUUUUGUAUCUUGAAGAGGUAGAAGACUGUAAGAUAAUCUAGUACUAGAGAAAUUAUGUGGUAUAGCUCUUUAAUCAGUUUCUUCCUGGUUCUUAUUCAGGAAAAUAAUACUUUUCUAGGAUUUCACAUAUACUAUAAAAAGCUGAAUAUAAACAUACACUAUAAAAUGCUGAAUGUAAAUUAUGUUUUUCAUAUACUUUACUAAAUCAAAGUUGAAUAUAUAUUUCAACUAUAUAUAAGAAAAUGCUUUUCUACAAUGUCAGAUGUACUAUAAAAAGCUGAAUAUAAACUUUACGAAAGUUGAAUGUGUGUAUAUAUAAAAAUGUCUUUAAAAAUAACUUUCCAGGCCUCAGAUAUAUUGUAAAAAGUGGAGUAUAAACUUACAACAUACUCCUGCAGUUUCUUAUUUCGCACCAAGUCCAGGGAAAGGGCAGUUCUUCAUUGUUUCAUCAUAUCAACAAUGUUGGCUGGGAGUGGUGGCUCAUGCUUGUAAUCCCAGCAUGAGGCUAAGGCGGGCAGAUCAUGAGGUCAGAAGUUAGAGACCAGCCUGGUCAACAUAGUGAAACCUCAUCUCUACUAAAAAUAUAAAAAUUAGCUGGGCAUGGUGGCGCACGCCUGUAGUCCCAGUUACUUGGGAGGCCGAGGCAGGAGAAUCGUUUGAACCCGGGAGGUGGAGGUUGCAGUGAGCUGAGAUCCCAUCACUGCAAUACAGCCUGGGUGACAGAGUAAGACUCCGUCUGAAAAACAAAAACAAAACAAAACAAAACAAAACAAAAAUGUCAAGGACACACAUAAUUCCAACCUAUUCUGUGCCAGUCUCAGACUCUUGAUUCUCUGCUUGCAAAAUGGCCACAAUUCCAGGUAUCACGCUGACAUACAGACAUGCAUCUUGUAUUGAAGAAGACCAUUUUCUCCCAUUUUGUUAGGAAACAAAAUUUAACUGAAGCCCAUUUGCAGACUUUUGCACAGAUCUUCCGUAUCCAGGGCUAUUAUAUGUGUGACCAGAUGCAGGGCAAGCUAGGAGAUCAAAUAUCUGGCAUUUACAGAUUCAGAAGAGCAGCAGGCAAUCCUGCCAAAAGGAGAGUGGUUAACACCAAUGAACAGGCAACUAUGCUUGAGUUUCUUCUUCAUAGGGUGCAAUGCUUUUCAUUUCAAAGUUUUGUGUUUUGUUUUUGCCUUCCAUUAAUUUUCCUAGAGCUUUUCUACAUCCAAGGGUUGAAUGCUUAUUCAUUCACUCUCUCACUCCUUGGAUCAUUCACACAUUCCUAUGAUCAAAUAUUUACUGAGAACCUGCUAGGAACAGGAGCACACAGGGUGAAGUCGGAAUGAAUCCUAGUCCUUAACUGGCCCUGUUUUCUAUACAUAUUAAAAUAAUUUUCCUGAGACUAUAGCUUUGUUCACACCCUAUAAAUUUCCAUAUGUAGUGUUCCCUUUGUCAUUCAUUCCUAAUAAGGCCUGCCUUGACAUCUUU
rnacentral:lncRNA from 10 species